UCCCAGCCUUUCUCCACAGCUACUGACUUCAACUCCAUCACGCUUGGACACUGUAUUCGUGAUCCUCUUUUACUCUCCCUGACAAUGGCAGGCUAUAGAAAGAAGCAGAUAUGUGAAGGAAUCUGUCUGUCCUCUCAUCUGAGGGCAGCUUUGGUUGUCAGGCCAAGAAAAUGGCUGGCAUGGAUGGUAAAUCCCUUUGUGAGCAGAAAGACUGAGGGGGUAGCAGCUAGACAGGAGAACAAUGAGCAGCUCUGUGUCAUCCCUCUGCCACCCCCUGCAAGACACCCCCUCCAAGAGCCACUCAGCCCAUUUUAAAUGUAGAGCCUGUCAACUUCCUUCAACAGCAACGAAGCACUGCAAAAGGCACUCACCAUAUCUCCCACAACUCCCUUGAACACCUGGGAUUUGACUUCCUAACUAUGUCUGUAUGCUGGGUGACUCUUGCUGCUAUGGCAAGGGAGAAAUGCAAAGCUACAGAGGCACUGGAGAGAAACAGGCAGCAAAUCAUGCUUGGCUGUGCAGUCCAUGUGUGCUUGGCCUGCAUUUUGCACCGGGUGCUGUCACAGCCUCAAAAGGCAGUGGUGUGCAUAUAUAACUCUGGCCUGUUGUGUCAGACUCUCUUGGGAUAGACAGUGGUCAGUGAGGAAGGGAGAUGCUGUCUGUGUGAGGUUGGUAGCAAGAUCUGACAGUCUGAGGGAAGCUGAGGGACAUCUCCAUUCCCACACACAGGUACAGGUGAUAUUCCAGGACCUCUCUGCACUGCAGCUAUGGGACAACUAGGGAAUGCAAAACCUUUAGCUUAAGGAAGAGUUUAAAAUUGUUCUGUAACAUUUUUAUUGGCCAUUUAUGACUUUGUGUGAUCUCAUUGUAGUUGGAACUGGCAUGCUGCAGCCUUAGGUCUGUGCAUCUUCCUUCACCAAUAACCAGAGGGUAGGUGACAGUACCUGUCAUGUCAUUCUUAGGGCUAUCUGCAAUUUUCGUAUUCAUUUUAUAGCUGGGUUUGAUCAAAAAGGAAGCCUGAAGGAAGUUUACAGACCCAAGCCACCAAAUGUGAGGACCUUUCAGUGCAGGCUGGCUUGCAUAUCCAAAUCCUGAAGGACUCAUCAGCUGUUAGGAGAUUUACUGUAAAACCACAAGGAUUUGCAGUGGUUGUUGACCAGCCAUAUGCUCAGCUCAGUGCAGUGCCCUUUUGCACUUCUGACCAAGCUGCCUAUCUGUCCACUUUAAAGCUCUCCCUGCUGGCAAGAGUUUACAUUAGUUCAGCUACAGCAAGGACAUCACAUUUAUUCCAUAUUUGCCCUUUCCAGUAUUCACAAAUAAAAUUUGUCCAGUGUGAUAGAUGCAUUUGCUAGUGGUGCCUAAAAAACUCAUAACCAAGGAUGCAAUAAGCCAAGAUGAAAGCAAAUCUCCAAUCAACCCCAUGAACUACUAUAUGCUGAAGAAGUAUCCUGGAGAUUCAUUCUGCUAACAGAGCCCUGGCUUUUCUUCACCUUUUCAUUCACUUAAAUGGGGAGAACAGAAGAGCUGCUUAGCUGUUCACCUGAAAACAUCUAGAACCUAAAACCUCCGUACUUUGUAUUGGCAGUGAGAGUAAAAACCAUACACCCUCUUCAUCUUCUCCUUGGAGUGCAGCAUUGCAUCUCUGUCUGCAGACCUGGAGCACAUGGUUUGGUAAAGGCUGAGUGUGUAAGGGCUAAAGCACAGCAGUCAGUGGGUCUAUCCAUCCUAUUUUUAGUCAUGCACUCUGUACCUGAAGCACCCUUGGUUGGCUGCUGGUGGUGAGUAAAACCCAGAAAGCCAGUAACCUUUCUCAUGGCAUGCUCUCAUGGGUGAUGGAUGGGGUGAAGGGCACUUUGCAGGUUCCUGCUGUUACCCAAUAGCUUGUAAAGCCUCCAGAAGGAAAAGAAAGGCAAGGGGGAGGCUUUGCAGGAAGCUCAGAGCUCUGUCAUAUCGUUUAUUCCUGCCUAAUUGCCAAGGAUGUGAGGCAAUUGUUGACGAGGCUGCGAGAGAAGGGAAGUGCCCUUUCCCACCUUCUCAACCUGCUCGUGGUUGCAUAAGCCUCAAAGCGCAGAGCCUGAGGUUGCUAUGCCAACUUGCAUAGUUCCUCCCAUCCACCUCCCCGUCUGAGCAAUGCCGUGGGCCUGAAGGAGCAGGAGUCCAUCCUGAAACAGCAAACGAUAGGAUCAACUGGCAGCAGAGGCUCUGCUCCAUCAGUGGAGCAGACUGAAGGACUCCACGAGCUGUGUGUACCCAUGGCCCUUGUGCCACUGAUGAGACACUGCAUCAGAGCAACUGGUUUGCAGCACUUCUGCUUCAAUGUCCUGAGUGCUUUACCUUUGCUGCUGAAUUUGGUUUCAAGUCCUCAUUGACAGCACAGAGUCUGUGCUGCUACCCAUCAAAGGAAUCACAAGUUCAGCAUGAGUCUGUGUGUCUGCUUUCCCUUCUGUAGCAUUAAAAUAAAGUGCCUUUCAAAGGAACUGGGAAGGAAUCGCUAUUUCCAGGAACUUACAUAAAUGGUCUUCAAGUGCAAAAGUGGAAAAUCUUGAACUCCUUAGGCUCUUCACCUACCCCCUCCCUUAAGAAGGACUCUAUAUAGACCUAGAUUGUAUAGUAAAGGGGUCACAUCCUUGAAAGAGAACAAAAAACCAGUGUGACUUAGGUCUGUGCUGCAUAGAAGAGGCUGGCAAAUAAAGCAGUUCUCUGUUUUUGCAUUUUAUCUUAAUUAGCAGUCAUUUCCAGCACAAAUUCUUAUGGUUAGCCCCUUUCCCAUCUUUGUUUGACCUCCCACAUAAACUACAAACUCUUUUGUCCACACUCCAGCAAUAAACAGGAAUGGAAAUCCUGAUGAGUUAGUUUGCCAGUAAUUAAAUUUGUCCCUUCUGUUCGUU